rnacentral:lncRNA from 1 species
GCUAGUCCAACUUUACUGAUGUGGCGCACCAGGGUUGAGGUAGGGCAUGUAAAUGAGUUCUAACUAGAGUUUGAAUGAGUAAGUUUAUAAUCGAGGGUUCAGUUAGCACCGGCAUAAGGAGAAGAAAUUAACUCUUAGGCCUCAAUAUUGAGUUGAGCUGAUUUAUGCUUGGCUCAGCUUGCUCAUAUUUCAGCUCGGGUUGGCUAGGCUCUUUUUGAUACAGAUGAGCUUAGCCAGGCUUAAUUUGUUCGGUAUGGUCAAAGGUAUCGCGAAAAUCACUUGUUUCCAACGAUGAAGGUCUUCAACAAGGUAUUCAGCUCAUGAUGAUGCAUUUAAUGAG